UACGUAGGGUGCAGGCGUUAAUCGGAAUCACUGGGCGUAAAGGGUGCGUAGGCGGCCGUGCAAGUCUGGCGUGAAAGCCCCGGGCUCAGCCCGGGAAGUGCGCUCGAAACUGCGCGGCUCGAGUGCCGGAGGGGAGAGUGGAAUUCCUGGUGUAGCGGUGAAAUGCGUAGAUAUCAGGAGGAAUACCGGUGGCGAAAGCGACUCUCUGGACCAGCACUGACACUGAGGCACGAAAGCGUGGGGAGCAAACAGG
rnacentral:rRNA from 1 species